rnacentral:rRNA from 1 species
CCUAAUACAUGCAAGUCGAGCGAUGAGGCUCCUUCGGGAGUACAUCAGCGGCGAACGGGUGAGUAACACGUGGGUGACUUGCCCCGAAGAUGGGGAUAACCUCUGGAAACGGGGGCUAAUACCCAAUGUGCUCGGUGAUUCGGUUCAUCGAGUAAAGCUCCGGCGCUUCGGGAGAGGCCUGCGGCCCAUCAGCUAGUUGGUAGGGUAACGGCCUACCAAGGCAGAGACGGGUAGGGGGCGUGAGAGCGCGGACCCCCACACUGGCACUGAGAUACGGGCCAGACUCCUACGGGAGGCAGCAGUAAGGGAUAUUGCGCAAUGGACGAAAGUCAGACGCAGCGACGCCGCGUGGGCGAUGAAGGCCUUCGGGUUGUAAAGCCCUUUUAUGGGGGAAGAGAAAAAGGACGGUACCCCAGGAAUAAGUCCCGGCUAACUACGUGCCAGCAGCCGCGGUAAAACGUAGGGGACAAGCGUUAUCCGGAUUCACUGGGCGUAAAGAGCGUUGAGGCGGUUCCGUAAGUUGGGCGUGAAAGCUCCGGGCUUAACUCGGAGAUGUCGUUCAAUACUGCGGGGCUUGAGGACAGCAGAGGAAGGUGGAAUUCCCGGUGUAGUGGUGAAAUGCGUAGAUAUCGGGAGGAACACCCGUGGCGAAGGCGGCCUUCUGGGCUGUUCCUGACGCUGAAGGCGAAAGCUACGGGAGCGAACGGGAUUAGAUACCCCGGUAGUCCUAGCUGUAAACGAUGGAUGCUGGGUGUGGGGGG